AGUGAACGCUGGCGGUAGGCCUAACACAUGCAAGUCGAACGGCAGCACAGUAAGAGCUUGCUCUUACGGGUGGCGAGUGGCGGACGGGUGAGGAAUACAUCGGAAUCUACUUUUUCGUGGGGGAUAACGUAGGGAAACUUACGCUAAUACCGCAUACGACCUACGGGUGAAAGCAGGGGAUCUUCGGACCUUGCGCGAUUGAAUGAGCCGAUGUCGGAUUAGCUAGUUGGCGGGGUAAAGGCCCACCAAGGCGACGAUCCGUAGCUGGUCUGAGAGGAUGAUCAGCCACACUGGAACUGAGACACGGUCCAGACUCCUACGGGAGGCAGCAGUGGGGAAUAUUGGACAAUGGGCGCAAGCCUGAUCCGGCCAUACCGCGUGGGUGAAGAAGGCCUUCGGGUUGUAAAGCCCUUUUGUUGGGAAAGAAAAGCAGCAGGUUAAAACCCCGCUGUUCUGACGGUACCCAAAGAAUAAGCACCGGCUAACUUCGUG
rnacentral:rRNA from 1 species